GUGGACCUUUUACAAAAUGUCAAAAAGAGAAUGAAGACAGACCAGUUUAGAAAACAUCAGCUUUUCCCAGUCAACAGAUGCACACCAGGCUAAUUAGACACACAAAAAGCUAGCACUGUGGCAGAAAAGACUCGUUUCUCUAAAUAAAAAGGUAUAGCGCGCUUUUCUUCGGAGCAUUGUAAUAAAAAAAAUAAAAAAAAACUACAGCUGCUUUCAGGAAAAAAGGCAUCAUGGAUACAUCAGUGUCGAUCGGGAUAGCCGUGGCGUUUGGGAUCUUGGGAUUGUUCGUGCUGAUCUGUUUGGUACAGAUCUGCAUCAAGAAAAUCAAAUGCUGCAAGCGCAAAAAGCCUUCGGUGAAAGACAACAUUUUUAAGAAAGUUGGGAUUAAGAAAUCAUCACCUCCGUUUUCAAUCAGCAGAAUCGUUGACAAGAAAUAACGAACAUCGCUGCUCAUGUGACAUUCUCUCAGUGUCUAUAAAUAUUGUACAUACGCCCACCGUUUUUUGUUUUCCGUUCCUUUUUGAUUUUAUAUCACCUGUAACCAAUUAUUUCCACAGUCUUAUGAAUCCUGUCUAUUUAUUAUUAUCGUUUAAUUCUGUGAAAAGUGUGAAUCUGAGGAAUGCUGAUGAUUCAUAACUGGUUAAAAUGAUUUUCACGCAGCUAGGAAAUAACAGCACACCUUUAUUUCUUUUUUGCGAUCGCUUUCUUUUUGCGUCUCUAACAUUCUCUGACUUUUGUCACUGUUUCAGUGUCACCACAAAAACACGGUGAAGUCUUCUUCUCAAGCCAGGCUGUUUCCAAAUAACAAUGACGUCAAAGGUCAUAUACACUGAUGAAAUAUUAAUCUCUUCAGUCAUAACAGAAAGAUCACAACAUAUUCAUUACGAUUUGUAGAAGUCCUCUUGGGUGACUUUUGAAGGAAAAUGCGGUCAUAUUUGGUCAUAUCAGGUCAGACUUAAUAGUCUAGUAUAUUAUCCUUAUUCUAUAUAUAAUGUGUGUGUGUGUGUGUGUGUGUGUGUGUGAGACUUCAAGUAUUAUCCUUUAAUAAUUUUUAAAUGUUAUUUUUCAAUUCAAAGUCCACUCUCACUGUUCUGUUAAUGUUAUUAAAAAGGA